GGCGGUGUGCCUAAUACAUGCAAGUCGUACGCACUGGCCCAACUGAUUGAUGGUGCUUGCACCUGAUUGACGAUGGAUCACCAGUGAGUGGCGGACGGGUGAGUAACACGUAGGUAACCUGCCCCGGAGCGGGGGAUAACAUUUGGAAACAGAUGCUAAUACCGCAUAACAACAAAAGCCACAUGGCUUUUGUUUGAAAGAUGGCUUUGGCUAUCACUCUGGGAUGGACCUGCGGUGCAUUAGCUAGUUGGUAAGGUAACGGCUUACCAAGGCGAUGAUGCAUAGCCGAGUUGAGAGACUGAUCGGCCACAAUGGAACUGAGACACGGUCCAUACUCCUACGGGAGGCAGCAGUAGGGAAUCUUCCACAAUGGGCGCAAGCCUGAUGGAGCAACACCGCGUGAGUGAAGAAGGGUUUCGGCUCGUAAAGCUCUGUUGUUGGAGAAGAACGUGCGUGAGAGUAACUGUUCACGCAGUGACGGUAUCCAACCAGAAAGUCACGGCUAACUACGUGCCAGCAGCCGCGGUAAUACGUAGGUGGCAAGCGUUAUCCGGAUUUAUUGGGCGUAAAGCGAGCGCAGGCGGUUGCUUAGGUCUGAUGUGAAAGCCUUCGGCUUAACCGAAGAAGUGCAUCGGAAACCGGGCGACUUGAGUGCAGAAGAGGACAGUGGAACUCCAUGUGUAGCGGUGGAAUGCGUAGAUAUAUGGAAGAACACCAGUGGCGAAGGCGGCUGUCUGGUCUGCAACUGACGCUGAGGCUCGAAAGCAU
rnacentral:rRNA from 2 species